AUUGAACGCUGGCGGCAGGCCUAACACAUGCAAGUCGAGCGGAUGAAGAGAGCUUGCUCUCUGAUUUAGCGGCGGACGGGUGAGUAAUGCCUAGGAAUCUGCCUGGUAGUGGGGGAUAACGUUCCGAAAGGAACGCUAAUACCGCGUACGUCCUACGGGAGAAAGCAGGGGACCUUCGGGCCUUGCGCUAUCAGAUGAGCCUAGGUCGGAUUAGCUAGUUGGUGAGGUAAUGGCUCACCAAGGCGACGAUCCGUAACUGGUCUGAGAGGAUGAUCAGUCACACUGGAACUGAGACACGGUCCAGACUCCUACGGGAGGCAGCAGUGGGGAAUAUUGGACAAUGGGCGAAAGCCUGAUCCAGCCAUGCCGCGUGUGUGAAGAAGGUCUUCGGAUUGUAAAGCACUUUAAGUUGGGAGGAAGGGCGGUAAGUUAAUACCUUGCUGUUUUGACGUUACCGACAGAAUAAGCACCGGCUAACUUCGUGCCAGCCGCCGCGGUAAUAC
rnacentral:rRNA from 1 species